rnacentral:tmRNA from 1 species
GGGGUUGUACUGGUUUCGACGGGGGUUUAGAAAUUAUGUAAGCCAUCAGUGGAGCAGACCACUAUAAAACAUGUAACUUAAAUAUAAACGCAGACGAAAAUUACGCGUUCGCUGCCUAAUAUGGCGGCUGUCAGACCUUUGCUCCCCGCAGCUUAGGAUUCUGGCAUCGACUUGCGGGACACUCUGCGGCUUAAGCUUUGCGGUCGUAGAAAAUUCAUGAAGCUACCAAGAAGGAUAGCCUGUCUGUAGGCGAUUCUUCGAGGGAAUGUUAAAAUACAGACUAUGAUGGUAGAAAGCAUAAUGGAAGAGCCUUCGGACGCGGGUUCGAUUCCCGCCAGCUCCAU